rnacentral:other from 1 species
AAGUCCCUGGGAUGUUUGCCAGCGGAUCUAUGUCCCUGAGCCGAUAUCUACGUCUAAGGGUGCUUUCUCUGCUGCUAUUGCGCAAGCUCAGCUCGUACUGAGACGCCUACGGCGGCAACCAAGUACCCGCCUUGAACCAUUGGGUUCAAGGGCUAACAUCUGCAGCGGCAUUCCGGGGCCCUC